AGAACUUUGAAAAGAGAGUUAAAAGUACUUGAAAUUGCUAAGAGGGAAGCGCUAAAAACCAGUGAUACGUCAAGUCAAUCGCUUUCGGCCCUUCGUAGGUGUGCGUAGUUUUUCAAUGGGCAACCUUGGCUGCGUCACCGAAAGGGUGGUUGGGAGUUUAUGAUUUGGCGUCAGUCAAGAUCAAUUCGGGAUUAUCUGUGGGAGAAGGUGGUGAGAAAGGUAGGAGAGCAAUCUCUGUUAUAUUCUCGCCACUCUACCUCGGCCUGGAUUGAGGAAGUAAUGGUGCGCCGCUUGCGGCUUGGUCCGGCGUCUCUAUUGUCCCAUUCGCUCUGAUAGCAAUGCUAUCUCUGUGUUGAAAGGCAAUACUGGGCGUCGUGAUUCUAUGUGCCAUCACGAUCUUGUACGAAAUGGUUUUUAUCGACCCGUCUUGUAACACGGACCAAGGAGUCUAA
rnacentral:rRNA from 13 species